rnacentral:rRNA from 1 species
UACGUAGGGGGCAAGCGUUGUCCGGAAUUAUUGGGCGUAAAGAGCGUGUAGGCGGUCCGGUAAGUCAGCUGUGAAAGUCAAGGGCUCGGCCCUUGAAAGCCGGUUGAUACUGUCGGGCUAGAGUCCGGAAGAGGCGAGUGGAAUUCCCGGUGUAGCGGUGAAAUGCGCAGAUAUCGGGAGGAACACCAAUGGCGAAGGCAGCUCGCUGGGACGGUACUGACGCUGAGACGCGAAAGCGUGGGGAGCAAACAGG